rnacentral:lncRNA from 1 species
CCCGCCCCGCCCUUGCCCGCACAGGUGUGGCACCCGCCCGCCCCGCCGCACGGAGCCGCCUGCCCGCGGCCACACGCCAGGCGUCACUCGGGCUGGCGCCGGUCUACCUAGGCAGGCGUGGGACCUGUCGGGGGCUUCACGGCAGCGCGGAAGGCCAGCCUGCAGAGAGGCUGGGCCCAGCGCCCUGACUGACCCAGCCCCGCCACGUCCAAGGUUCCCGCCCUCUGGAGGAAGCCGCGCAAUCACUCCGGGGGCGGGGAGAGACAGACAACUGAGAGGAAGGAGGUACCACGGGCACUCUCUCGCGAGAGGGCCGCAGAGCCGCCUUUGACGGGGGCGUGUACCUGGAGAGCAACGUGACAUCUGUUUGAGCAGAUGAAUAUGCCAUUGGGAAAGUCAAGGACUGUCGGAGAGGAGGACAUGGCAGACCUUAACUAAAGUGAGGGGGACAGUAGAGCACUAAAAGUUCUAGGAAAGGAGAUGAACUGCUUAUUCCAUCAGAUGAAAAUAUAGUCAGAACAGAUGAGUAGUAGAACUUAAACAUGCCCGGAGUUGCCAGGAAUUUGCAAAAGCCUUGAUAUAAUUCCUGUUGCUGUAGAAAGACUUUCUACAGUCACUAAUAUAUCAAGUUAUGUUCACUAGAAAAAAAGUUUACUUAGUUUAUAGAAAUGGGCUGAAAAAUCCUAAUUACUUAUCUGUGAGGUUAUUUUCAUGAAGGUUAAUCAUCCAGAAACUAUUAGAGAGCCUCGGAAUAUAUUUCUUCUAAUCUGCUCUACCUAUCCCAUUCAAAGGAGGGAAUCUGAAGAUUUAAGGACAAAGAGCAGUUGAAAACUCAGAGCUGUGGUUAAUGGGAGAAUUUCAAGGAUGGUGAAAAAAACUAACAUCAUUGCAUCCCUGUUUUUUGUAUUCUGGACUUUUUAGUUUAGCUCUUGGUAAACUACAUCAGAAAUUCUUUAUGCUAACUCUAACACACAUUUUGGGGUAUUGCUAAUUUAAUCUUUGAAUACUGUUUUUGCUGUUUCAUGAUUAUAUGUUAUGUCCUACCAGCUAGAUUGCCAACUCUUGACUACUGACUGGAAGUUUAUUGUUUAUUCAGCAAAUAAUGAAUUAAGUCAGUGAAGUGAGAGAUUUCGUGUGUAAGGAUUGUUAACUUGAACAUUUCACCAGUUACACACAGUUCAGCCCUACUUAAAUUUUAAAAAUCA